GCCUUGAUACUAUUAUAUACAAGUAUAAAACGUCUUGUUUUCUAUCUCUUUUGUAUUAGAAUUGAGUUCAUCUUCCUUUUCAAAGGCUUUAUAAGUCUUUAAAGUGGAUGAUGAGUCAAAUUAUAAUAUUUUUUCUGUAAUUCUUUUUUUUUUUUUUGUAAAAGUCACAAUAAUAGAAUUUCUUAAAAUAGGGCUAUUUAAUUUAUAUGAUUGUUUU
rnacentral:lncRNA from 1 species